GGCUAGCAAGCAAUGCAUGUCUCCUGAAAAGUAUCAAUUCCAAAUUCCUCAGCCUACAUAGAUGCUUGCUCUGCAACUUAGGUAUUGAAGCAUUAGAGAAGUGCUAAGAGCAUGGAUAAUUAAAUUUUAUGAUUUGGAAACUAGAGCCCUUUAGCAAGGAAUAUGUUGGAAUGAGAUGUGUGAAUGUGAUUCACUCAUCUUCUAUAUAUCGAAGGAAUGAACCACAAAAAGCAAAAGAAAUGGUCACAUGAAUUGAAAGAUGCUUCUCCAAUCUAAGGAAAACCUCUGAUAAUUUGGAAUCACAUAUCCUCUUUAAACCAUGAAGAAGUUAUUCAAUCACUUCCUGUUUAUAUAGGAAUUAACUAGGAAAAAAGAGAUGAUUGUAGAAAUUGUCUAUUUGCACCAAUUUACCAAAUGAAUAAUAACAGCAACAUGACAAAUACUACAAUAAAGAAUAAGCCCAACAGCAUGCUUGCAAAAACAGUCACAAGUAUCUCGUUCUAUUUGAGUCAACCUAACUUUGCUAGGUUGUGAAACAUGUUAAGUUCUUUGCUUUUUGAAAGAAUAAAACUUGUUGAUCAUCAAAGUAAAUAAAACUCAAGAUCUGUAUGCUAAUUUAUUUGACAAAUUUUAUUAUAGCACUUUUCCUUAUACUUCUUGAUUUGCUUUCACUUUCACCCAGAAUGCAUCAUGUUUCUCAAAAUGACGAUCUUUUCCUCUUUUCUCCAGUUGAACAACAAGAUUUAGACAAAGUUCAUAUCUUUAGCAUUACUUUGGUUUUAUCUACUAACAGUGCCAAACUGCUAACAUUAGAAGCUCAUAAUAUCUGUUUUGAUCAGGUUGAUUAAAGUGCGCAUUGUGACACAAGAAAUGGAUCUACUGGCAGAUCAGACCGAGACUCUAAAUGUCAGAUAUAAAUUGAAGCAUAUGAAAUGGAAUUCAGGAAUGCAGCUCCAAGACAGGAGUCUGGGCUCUCGAACAACAAAAUUAAAGCCACGACUAUCACAAGCAUCUCCACAAGGAAUCGCAAUCAGAGACGGAGAAAUUUGAACUCGAAUGCCC
rnacentral:lncRNA from 1 species